rnacentral:rRNA from 1 species
UACGUAGGGUGCAAGCGUUGUCCGGAAUUAUUGGGCGUAAAGAGCUCGUAGGCGGUUUGUCGCGUCUGCUGUGAAAACUCGGGGCUCAACUCCGAGCUUGCAGUGGGUACGGGCAGACUAGAGUGCGGUAGGGGAGACUGGAAUUCCUGGUGUAGCGGUGGAAUGCGCAGAUAUCAGGAGGAACACCGGUGGCGAAGGCGGGUCUCUGGGCCGAUGACUGACGCUGAGGCGCGAAAGCGUGGGGAGCAAACAGG